AUAAUCCACAGACAGAGUGUGGGCCAUCUCUGAAGGGUCUGGUGCUGUCAGGCAGCAGGCUUUGUUGGGAAAGAACACAGCUCAGGAGCAGGGUAUCUGGGAGGCAGAGCCUGCCUUGAUUACAGCGGCUCCGAAUUCUUUUUUUUUUUUUUUUUUU